rnacentral:lncRNA from 1 species
UCGGACUUCUCUGUCUAUGAGCCCGGAGAGGAGUCUGGAUAUGCCUAUGUCUGGAGGGAGUUCGAGAAUGUGGCCGAGCUUCACUCGACCCUUUUUCAACUGCGGACUUGCUAGAGUCCCCCGCCUGCCACUGCUUCGCAGCCUUCUCAUCCUUCAUCAUGAAGGCUUCUUCUGCUCGGGCAUAUCCUUCGGCCCGAGCCAGCAAAUC